rnacentral:rRNA from 1 species
AUUGAACGCUGGCGGCAGGCCUAACACAUGCAAGUCGAACGAGUGGCGGACGGGUGAGUAAUGUCUGGGAAACUGCCUGAUGGAGGGGGAUAACUACUGGAAACUGUAGCUAAUACCGCAUACCAUCGGAUGUGCCCACAUGGGAUUAGCUGGUUGGUGGGGUAACGGCUCACCAAGGCGACGAUCCCUAGCUGGUCUGAGAGGAUGACCAGUCACACUGGAACUGAGACACGGUCCAGACUCCUACGGGAGGCAGCAGUGGGGAAUAUUGCACAAUGGGGGCAACCCUGAUGCAGCCAUGCCGCGUGUAUGAAGAAGGCCUUCGGGUUGUAAAGUACUUUCAGCGGGGAGGCGUUAACCGCAGAAGAAGCACAGGCUAACUCCGUGCCAGCAGCCGCGGUAAUUC